UACGUAGGGGGCGAGCGUUGUCCGGAAUCAUUGGGCGUAAAGCGCGUGUAGGCGGCUCGAUAAGUCCGGUGUGAAACCUUGGGGCUCAACCCCAAGCCUGCACUGGAUACUGCCGAGCUAGAGUCCGGGAGGGGAGAGCGGAAUUCCUAGUGUAGCGGUGAAAUGCGCAGAUAUUAGGAAGAACACCGGUGGCGAAGGCGGCUCUCUGGAACGGUACUGACGCUGAGAAGCGAAAGCAUGGGGAGCGAACAGG
rnacentral:rRNA from 1 species